rnacentral:rRNA from 1 species
AGUGAACGCUGGCGGUAGGCCUAACACAUGCAAGUCGAACGGCAGCACAGUAAGAGCUUGCUCUUACGGGUGGCGAGUGGCGGACGGGUGAGGAAUACAUCGGAAUCUACUUUUUCGUGGGGGAUAACGUAGGGAAACUUACGCUAAUACCGCAUACGACCUACGGGUGAAAGCAGGGGAUCUUCGGACCUUGCGCGAUUGAAUGAGCCGAUGUCGGAUUAGCUAGUUGGCGGGGUAAAGGCCCACCAUGGCGACGAUCCGUAGCUGGUCUGAGAGGAUGAUCAGCCACACUGGAACUGAGACACGGUCCAGACUCCUACGGGAGGCAGCAGUGGGGAAUAUUGGACAAUGGGCGCAAGCCUGAUCCAGCCAUACCGCGUGGGUGAAGAAGGCCUUCGGGUUGUAAAGCCCUUUUGUUGGGAAAGAAAAGCAGCAGGUUAAUACCCAGCUGUUCUGACGGUACCCAAAGCAUAAGCACCGGCUAACUUCGUG